rnacentral:sRNA from 1 species
GCUCCUCGGCAGCGGGAACGCUGGGGCGACG